UACGUAGGGUGCAAGCGUUGUCCGGAAUUAUUGGGCGUAAAGAGCUCGUAGGCGGUUUGUCACGUCUGCCGUGAAAGUCCGGGGCUCAACUCCGGAUCUGCGGUGGGUACGGGCAGACUAGAGUGAUGUAGGGGAGACUGGAAUUCCUGGUGUAGCGGUGAAAUGCGCAGAUAUCAGGAGGAACACCGAUGGCGAAGGCAGGUCUCUGGGCAUUAACUGACGCUGAGGAGCGAAAGCAUGGGGAGCGAACAGG
rnacentral:rRNA from 1 species